GACGAACGCUGGCGGCGUGCCUAAUACAUGCAAGUUGAGCGCUGAAGGUUGGUACUUGUACCAACUGGAUGAGCAGCGAACGGGCGAGUAACGCGUGGGGAAUCUGCCUUUGAGCGGGGGACAACAUUUGGAAACGAAUGCUAAUACCGCAUAAAAACUUUAAACACAAGUUUUAAGUUUGAAAGAUGCAAUUGCAUCACUCAAAGAUGAUCCCGCGUUGUAUUAGCUAGUUGGUGAGGUAAAGGCUCACCAAGGCGAUGAUACAUAGCCGACCUGAGAGGGUGAUCGGCCAAAUUGGGACUGAGACACGGCCCAAACUCCUACGGGAGGCAGCAGUAGGGAAUCUUCGGCAAUGGACGAAAGUCUGACCGAGCAACGCCGCGUGAGUGAAGAAGGUUUUCGGAUCGUAAAACUCUGUUGGUAGAGAAGAACGUUGGUGGGAGUGGAAAGCUCAUCAAGUGACGGUAACUACCCAGAAAGGGACGGCUAACUACGUG
rnacentral:rRNA from 1 species